AGCAGGGUCACCAAUUCCAAUAUGAACUAGACCACCAAGAAGAUCUACACAAGCUCCAAGUUUUAGUGUGUCAAUUGGGCAUGUUGCCUUUGUUGUUGGUGGUGGAGGGCAUGGUUUUCCUUUAGGGGAUGGUGUAAUAACUGGUGGAACUGUCACGGGUGGAAUUCCGAUAGGUGGCAAGUUAAUAGGAGGUUUUACAAUAGGUGGUAAACCAAUUGGUGGCUUCAGAACUGGUGGAACUGUCACUGGUGGAAUUCCGAUAGGUGGCUUAAUAACGGGUGGAACGACGGGCGGCAAGUUGAUGGGAGGUUUUACAACUGGUGGAACUGUAACUGGUGGAAUUCCGAUAGGUGGCUUAAUAACUGGUGGAACAACUGGUGGCAAGUUGAUGGGAGGUUUUACAACUGGUGGAACUGUCACUGGUGGAAUUCCGAUGGGCGGCUUAAUAACUGGUGGAACAACAGGUGGCAAGUUGAUAGGUGGUUUUACAAUCGGUGGAAUUCCAAUGGGUGGCAAGUUGAUAGGGGGUUUAAUACUUGGAGAGGGAGUUUUGGGUUUUUUGGGUUUGUGAGAGGGUUUUCCACAAUAUCCACAACCAAGAAUGGGAGUGAAUGAAGAAAGGAAAAGCAUGGAAAUGAAAAGAAGACAUGUUAUUUUAGAUGACUCCAUUUUCCUAUGAGGAAAGAGGGAAUAGGUUG
rnacentral:lncRNA from 1 species